rnacentral:rRNA from 1 species
AGAGCGAACGCUGGCGGCAGGCUUAACACAUGCAAGUCGAGCGGGCGUAGCAAUACGUCAGCGGCAGACGGGUGAGUAACGCGUGGGAACGUACCUUUUGGUUCGGAACAACCCAGGGAAACUUGGGCUAAAUACCGGAUAAGCCCUUACGGGGAAAGAUUUAUCGCCGAAAGAUCGGCCCGCGUCUGAUUAGCUAGUUGGUGAGGUAAUGGCUCACCAAGGCGACGAUCAGUAGCUGGUCUGAGAGGAUGAUCAGCCACAUUGGGACUGAGACACGGCCCAAACUCCUACGGGAGGCAGCAGUGGGGAAUAUUGGACAAUGGGCGCAAGCCUGAUCCAGCCAUGCCGCGUGAGUGAUGAAGGCCCUAGGGUUGUAAAGGCUCUUUUGUGCGGGAAGAUAAUGACGGUACCGCAAGAAUAAGCCCCGGCUAACGUUCGUGCCAGCAGCCGC